rnacentral:rRNA from 1 species
GCCAGCAGCCUUGUCACCCUGCAACUUACAAUUGGCAACCCACUGAAGCUCAGCAGGUGUGAGGCUGGUCAGUACCUGGAUGGGAGACCUCCUGGGAAAAACUAAGGUUGCAGCUGGAA